rfam:Moniliophthora roreri strain MCA 2952 kmer90.94492, whole genome shotgun sequence.
ACACCGUUGGUGAAGUGGUUAUCAUGCUUGCCUUCCAUUUGUGAUCCAGCAAGCGGCUCGGGUUCGAUUCCCGAACGGUGUA